rnacentral:rRNA from 1 species
UACCGGAUAGUAAAGCAGAUCGCAUGAUCAGCUUUUGAAAGGCGGCGUAAGCUGUCGCUAAGGGAUGGCCCCGCGGUGCAUUAGCUAGUUGGUAAGGUAACGGCUUACCAAGGCGACGAUGCAUAGCCGAGUUGAGAGACUGAUCGGCCACAUUGGGACUGAGACACGGCCCAAACUCCUACGGGAGGCAGCAGUAGGGAAUCUUCCACAAUGGACGCAAGUCUGAUGGAGCAACGCCGCGUGAGUGAAGAAGGUUUUCGGAUCGUAAAGCUCUGUUGUUGGUGAAGAAGGAUAGAGGUAGUAACUGGCCUUUAUUUGACGGUAAUCAACCAGAAAGUCACGGCUAACUACGUGCCAGCAGCCGCGGUAACACGUAGGUGGCAAGCGUUGUCCGGAUUUAUUGGGCGUAAAGCGAGCGCAGGCGGAAAAAUAAGUCUAAUGUGAAAGCCCUCGGCUUAACCGAGGAACUGCAUCGGAAACUGUUUUUCUUGAGUGCAUAAGAGGAGAGUGGAACUCCAUGUGUAGCGGUGGAAUGCGUAGAUAUAUGGAAGAACACCAGUGGCGAAGGCGGCUCUCUGGUCUGCAACUGACGCUGAGGCUCGAAAGCAUGGGUAGCGAACAGGAUUAGAUACCCUGGUAGUCCAUGCCGUAAACGAUGAGUGCUAAGU